rnacentral:misc_RNA from 1 species
AGGUGCACAGACGUGCAAGAAAGAUUAUGGUGCGGUGCCGUGGGGCGCGGUCUGGCGCUUCUCUCUCAUGGCGCUUGCCCAUCGGCACGCACAUGUGGCUGCAUGACACCGCUGCUCCUCCUUUCUUUGGCCCUCUCUCUUUCUCACACCUCCCUACAGCAGCCUUUAUCCCUUCCUUAUUGUGGCCCGUCCACUGACGCCAACGGUGAGCCGUCCUUCUUCCUCUCAUUCUCUGUGUCUGUGCGGGCGACAGUAUGAGCGCCGACUGCCCACCGCCAACAAGUUUUUUUUUUUGCUGAGCUCUCCACAUUACUAUAUACGGUGCACACGGGCACCGAAAACGAUGCCUCUUAUAAAGGCGUUCAACAGGUGUUUGCAGUACCUCCCUGCCAGAUCUUCUGCCUAUGCCAACAUUUACCGAUGGUGCAGCACCCCCUCGCCGUCGCGCACAUCAGAGCAGCCGCAGCAGGCACAAACGCAACCGUCGCCAAUCACCAGCAGCGGGUCCGGCGCACCCCAUACGCCCGCCUCUCUCGACCUCGGCUUGAACUUUGCCACGAUGGACUUCGAGGCAGUGGUAAGGGCGACACAUGCCGCGAUGGCGCGUGAGCGCGGUGCCGGACAUCUGUCUCAGCAGCGAGAGCAGGAACUGGAGAAGCAAGCCGGCACGAGCGCAGCGCCGCAGCAGUCCGCGCGUGCGUCAGGGCCGGCGCCAACGUUAGCGUCGGAGCGGUUCUGUCACGCGCGUGCACCUGCGUCUCACUCUGCACCGUCGUCGCAGCGCUCUUGUGUCGAUGCCUCUCCAGCGCCACAUCCGCAAAUGCAGCAGCAGGCGCAACUUCCACCGCGCUCUUUCCGGCGCAAUGGGACAGCUGCCCGCUACUCUCUGCAGGACAUGCUCAAGGACUGCGUGGCCGACGGACAGUGGGCGCGAGCGCUUCACCUUUUCACUAGCGCUGUGGACCAGGCAUGUCGACAGGUGCUGGUCCCCUUCGGCACCGCACCAGGUGUGGUCGCCGCCAGCGGAGCUCCUGCGGCAGCUAUCGCAUCAGACCCCCGUCGUGUAGCGGUGAACUCCACCGCUGAAUCGGAGUGCUUUGUGGCGAUACGCAAGAUGCUGGCAGCCCUUCCUCCGAGACAGCCACGAGAUCGGGCGACGCAUUUCUCGCGCGCGGCGAGUGUCACGAACAUGCGGGGUAUCAUGCGAUGGACCGGUCAGCACUACUACCUGCUGUGGAAGUGUCUCCUGGAGACGGGGCACGUGGAGGAGCUGGAGAGGGUCUGGUCCGUGAUGCAGCACACUGGGUUCGUGGAGUAUCAGAUGGAAGAACGCACGGUGAACGCGAUGAUGGCGCUGCUGCGCCGCACGUCGCGCUCGACAGAGCGCGUGAUAGCCACAGUGGUGCCCCCUGGCCGCCCUUUGUCAGAAACGACGUCGCAUCAGAAAGGGAUUCUGCGCGAGCUCAUGAAGGGGCUCGAGCAGGCCGCUGCAGCGCGGAAAUUUCGGCUGGCGGCCGUGAACCGUCGCACCGCCGAGGGUAUUCGAAUCGCCGAAGCGCUAAAGCACGCCGACCAGGGCUAUGACGGCAGAGACACCUCCGCAGACGCCGGCACCACCCCCGACAACGGAGCGGGCGCGGCAUUCGUCACCCGCUUAGAGGAAGAGGCGGUCGUGGUUGGCGACUUCAAUGGACUGCUUCGCCGUGCACGCAGCUCUGAAGCGACCGAACGCAUUCUGCGCAUGAUGGAGCAGCUGAACAUUGAGAAAGAGGCCGUCACAUACGCGAGCAUCAUCGCCGCACUGCACAGCCCGCACUAUGUGCUGCCGGGACACACAGCCGAAGAGCUGACAGCGCACCUACCCGGCGGGGCUAACUUGCAGCAGCACGCAAACGUGGAGGAAGGCGGAAGCACAUUGAAGGAUGGCCAGGCGUCUGGUCCCACAAGCACCUCGGUUGAUCUUUCAGGGACCAAGACUUCCUACGAAGCGUACAGAGCGGAGCGCAUUGAGGCUGGAAUGGCAUGGUUCGCGGCUUGUCCCGCGGCACACCGCACGGCGGAUGUGUUCAAUGAGCUGCUCUAUCUUCUUCGCGCCAAGUCGCACUGGUGCCAGUUUGAUACGGUGCUAGUGCAGCUGCGAGGCAACGCUGUGGUCACCGAAACGGAGUGGCCGGAGCGGCUUAGUGAAGCAGCGGAUGGUGUGCCACCGUCCGUGUCCGCCGCCGGCGGGGCCUCGCGCGGCUCAGCCACCAUUCUUGCUCCUCGAUGGUCUACUUGGCCGAAUGGGAAGACGUAUGAGCUACUGAUCCAACGCGCCCGCUACGUGCACCAAUGGGAAGUGAUGUGGGCACUGUACGAGGAAAUGAUUGGCACUGGCGUUCGCGGCACCGCCCGCGUGUACGAGGUACUCCUCUUGGAGGCUCGCAGUCACCCACCGCAGGCGGUGCUCGCUGCCGAGCACUCCAGCAAUGCCGAUGGAUCCUCCAGUUUUCUCCUCCGUCUCUACGAGGAGCUGCGCCGCAACGGUGGCGACGUUCAUUCAUUCACAGGAACGCUCAACGUCAUUAAUGCUUGGACCAGGGCGCGGUCCAGGUCGAAUCGCUGGCGAUCUUGAGGUGCGCGUGGAAGUCAAACUGACUCGAAUACAUCCUCCUGAUGGGCAACAAAUCACCGUCGCAUCUCAGAGUUCAGUACCGCCGCUCUUUCUGGAAAAGCCAAGCGGCACCCUUCCCCCCUCCCCGCUAUCCCUUGCCCCUGCCGAGCCACCUGUGAUUAGGAGAGGGCGAAGCCAGGGCCGCUUUACGGCUAACCGGUGUCGGCGGCCAGGUCCUGGGCGGCGCUGCGUCGGAGCGGCCCGAGACGGUGCGAGCACGCUCGUGCCACCUAUAUGGUGGGCGAAGCGCCAACGUGCCUCGAGCGCAUCCCGCCCCACGGCCCUCACACGGUCUACUGGUGCGGGACGCCUGCGUGUGACCCCGAGAGAGGUGCGCCAGGUGGCGGCCAGCAUGGUGGGAGCCGCGGGUGUGAGGCAGCCUGCGCAGCGGCGGUGGAUGAUGAGUCGAGGUUGGCGCAGAGGCCGCGCUCAGGCCGUCGAGCCGGUGCGUUGCUGUAACGCGUGUCCACGGGUGCGAUCGGCACAUACGCGAUCGCGUCUGUGACAGACUGGUGGGCAGCGGGGCGUGCGACGCACGCUUUAUGGUCAAGUAAUGGACUUCUGAAAGAGCGGCUGGAGGAGACUUCGAGUACUGUUUUUGGGCUGGCUGCGUGGCGCGCAACGUUAAAAGGCACCAGGAGGAAAAAGAGGGUGCUGCAACUUAUUCCAGGGAUGUGGCGUGUGUCAGUGAAGGCUUCUUGCUUGUUGGUGGACACGAGGGAUGUACACAGCCCCACAGACGUGCGCGGGAACUGUGCUCACGGGACAGACAAUCUUGUCUCUCGUCGGCGCGCGAGACGCCGUUUACGGCAGCUCGAAAAGAGAAGAGGGAUGUGGAGGCCAUGCGCGCGCCCUCAUCACAUUCACCCCUCACCUCUACUUCCUGGACUCCCCCCUCCUCCUGCUGCGCCUCCUCCUCCUCGUUGCACUGCGUGCCAUGUGAAUCACAAUGCUUAUCGUUCCUCGCGUCCACGCGCGUGCACAAACGAAUUCGUGCGAGAUCUGACACGAGCAGUGGCGUUAGCGCUCUCCUUGACGAUUGUUCAUCAUACGGCAC